GGGGCUGCAUGUAUUUUUAACUAUACUAGCAAUGUACCCGUGCUUUACUGCGGGUAAGAUGAAUAUAUUUUUAAUUAUAUUUUUAGAAUAUAUAUAUAUAUAUAUAUAUAUAGAGAGAGAGAGAGAGAGAGUGAGGCUACUAUGUUAUCGAAAACACGGAGCCUUCCGUGCUUCCAGCUCGUUUUCGAUAUUGCGACUUUCGAAUCGUCGAUCGGCUCAGUUAAACUUGAUCUAGAGUAUUUGAAGUACCUAGAAAAUAAAUUUUAUGAUUUUACGAUAUCAUUUGCCUAGUGAACGAAGGGGCUCAAAAUCAACGGCUGAAAAUAAAAAACUUACAAAAUGUAAUAAUAUGACAUUAAAAUUUUUAAUCAAAGAUAUUGAUCUUGUUUUAUAUAGUAUAAAGAAUUUUCUAUCAAAAUUUCACGUGAUUUGGAUAUUUUUACACCGUUAAACUUGCAAACGGCACACUACGGCCUUUGAAAUUUGUUGAUUUUGAGCCCAUUCGAUCACUAGGCAAAUGAUAUCGAAAAAUAAU
rnacentral:lncRNA from 1 species